rnacentral:lncRNA from 1 species
GCCCUACCUAUGCAAUUUAUAGUGGGUUGGCUGUUAGCAACUCAGCUCCAAUCUCAAGCUCUUGUCUGCUCACGCCGAACUAGAGAUCUAACCAGUAGACCCUCGACCCUCCGUGCAUUCCCAUCCAAGAAUGGGGGUGAAUAGCCGCAACAUCAUGACUUUGCUAUCGAAGAAUAAGACCCUUCUAGUUUUUUUUGCUCAUAAGAUAAAAACAACCCAAU